rnacentral:rRNA from 1 species
CGUGUAGGCGGUAUGGCAAGCGGCGUGUGAAAUCCCGGAGCUCAACUCCGGAACUGCACGCCGAACUGCUGUACUAGAGGACAGGAGGGGAUGUGGAACUCUAGGUGUAGCGGUGAAAUGCGUAGAUAUCUAGAGGAACGCCGGUGGCGAAAGCGACAUCCUGGCCUGUAUCUGACGCUGAGGCGCGAAAGCGUGGGUAGCAAACA